AGCUACGGCGACGCGGAGCCGG
rnacentral:misc_RNA from 1 species